UACGAAGGGGGCUAGCGUUGUUCGGAAUUACUGGGCGUAAAGCGCGCGCAGGCGGUUUCUCAAGUCAGUGGUGAAAGCCCGGAGCUCAACUCCGGAACUGCCAUUGAAACUGUGAAACUUGAGGACGAGAGAGGUGAGUGGAAUUCCCAGUGUAGAGGUGAAAUUCGUAGAUAUUGGGAAGAACACCGGUGGCGAAGGCGGCUCACUGGCUCGUUUCUGACGCUCAGGCGCGACAGCGUGGGGAUCAAACAAGG
rnacentral:rRNA from 1 species